GGUUAAGUUAGAAAGGGCGCACGGUGGAUGCCUUGGCACUAGGAGCCGAUGAAGGACGGGACGAACACCGAUAUGCUUCGGGGAGCUGUAAGCAAGCUUUGAUCCGGAGAUUUCCGAAUGGGGAAACCCACCACUCGUAAUGGAGUGGUAUCCAUAUCUGAAUUCAUAGGAUAUGAGAAGGCAGACCCGGGGAACUGAAACAUCUAAGUACCCGGAGGAAGAGAAAGCAAAUGCGAUUCCCUGAGUAGCGGCGAGCGAAACGGGAUUAGCCCAAACCAAGAGGCUUGCCUCUUGGGGUUGUAGGACACUCUGUACGGAGUUACAAAAGAACGAGGUAGAUGAAGAGGUCUGGAAAGGCCCGCCAUAGGAGGUAACAGCCCUGUAGUCAAAACUUCGUUCUCUCCUGAGUGGAUCCUGAGUACGGCGGAACACGUGAAAUUCCGUCGGAAUCCGGGAGGACCAUCUCCCAAGGCUAAAUACUCCCUAGUGACCGAUAGUGAACCAGUACCGUGAGGGAAAGGUGAAAAGCACCCCGGAAGGGGAGUGAAAGAGAUCCUGAAACCGUGUGCCUACAAGUAGUCAGAGCCCGUUAACGGGUGAUGGCGUGCCUUUUGUAGAAUGAACCGGCGAGUUACGAUCCCGUGCAAGGUUAAGCAGAAGAUGCGGAGCCGCAGCGAAAGCGAGUCUGAAUAGGGCGCAUGAGUACGUGGUCGUAGACCCGAAACCAGGUGAUCUACCCAUGUCCAGGGUGAAGUUCAGGUAACACUGAAUGGAGGCCCGAACCCACGCACGUUGAAAAGUGCGGGGAUGAGGUGUGGGUAGGGGUGAAAUGCCAAUCGAACCUGGAGAUAGCUGGUUCUCUCCGAAAUAGCUUUAGGGCUAGCCUCAAGGUAAGAGUCUUGGAGGUAGAGCACUGAUUGGACUAGGGGCCCCUACCGGGUUACCGAAUUCAGUCAAACUCCGAAUGCCAAUGACUUAUCCUUGGGAGUCAGACUGCGAGUGAUAAGAUCCGUAGUCGAAAGGGAAACAGCCCAGACCGCCAGCUAAGGUCCCAAAGUAUACGUUAAGUGGAAAAGGAUGUGGAGUUGCUUAGACAACCAGGAUGUUGGCUUAGAAGCAGCCACCAUUUAAAGAGUGCGUAAUAGCUCACUGGUCGAGUGACUCUGCGCCGAAAAUGUACCGGGGCUAAACGUAUCACCGAAGCUGCGGACUGUUCUUCGAACAGUGGUAGGAGAGCGUUCUAAGGGCUGUGAAGCCAGACCGGAAGGACUGGUGGAGCGCUUAGAAGUGAGAAUGCCGGUAUGAGUAGCGAAAGAGGGGUGAGAAUCCCCUCCACCGAAUGCCUAAGGUUUCCUGAGGAAGGCUCGUCCGCUCAGGGUUAGUCGGGACCUAAGCCGAGGCCGAAAGGCGUAGGCGAUGGACAACAGGUUGAUAUUCCUGUACCACCUCCUCACCAUUUGAGNNNNNNNNNNNNNNNNNNNNNNNNAAGGCUGAGCUGUGAUGGCGAGCGAAAUAUAGUAGCGAAGUUCCUGAUUCCACACUGCCAAGAAAAGCCUCUAGCGAGGUGAGAGGUGCCCGUACCGCAAACCGACACAGGUAGGCGAGGAGAGAAUCCUAAGGUGAUCGAGAGAACUCUCGUUAAGGAACUCGGCAAAAUGACCCCGUAACUUCGGGAGAAGGGGUGCUCUGUUAGGGUGCAAGCCCGAGAGAGCCGCAGUGAAUAGGCCCAGGCGACUGUUUAGCAAAAACACAGGUCUCUGCGAAGCCGUAAGGCGAAGUAUAGGGGCUGACGCCUGCCCGGUGCUGGAAGGUUAAGAGGAGCGCUUAGCGUAAGCGAAGGUGCGAAUUGAAGCCCCAGUAAACGGCGGCCGUAACUAUAACGGUCCUAAGGUAGCGAAAUUCCUUGUCGGGUAAGUUCCGACCCGCACGAAAGGCGCAACGAUCUGGGCACUGUCUCAACGAGAGACUCGGUGAAAUUAUAGUACCUGUGAAGAUGCAGGUUACCCGCGACAGGACGGAAAGACCCCGUGGAGCUUUACUGCAGCCUGAUAUUGAAUGUUGGUACAGCUUGUACAGGAUAGGUAGGAGCCUUGGAAACCGGAGCGCCAGCUUCGGUGGAGGCAUCGGUGGGAUACUACCCUGGCUGUAUUGACCUUCUAACCCGCCGCCCUUAUCGGGCGGGGAGACAGUGUCAGGUGGGCAGUUUGACUGGGGCGGUCGCCUCCUAAAAGGUAACGGAGGCGCCCAAAGGUUCCCUCAGAAUGGUUGGAAAUCAUUCGCAGAGUGUAAAGGCACAAGGGAGCUUGACUGCGAGACCUACAAGUCGAGCAGGGACGAAAGUCGGGCUUAGUGAUCCGGUGGUUCCGCAUGGAAGGGCCAUCGCUCAACGGAUAAAAGCUACCCCGGGGAUAACAGGCUUAUCUCCCCCAAGAGUCCACAUCGACGGGGAGGUUUGGCACCUCGAUGUCGGCUCAUCGCAUCCUGGGGCUGUAGUCGGUCCCAAGGGUUGGGCUGUUCGCCCAUUAAAGCGGUACGCGAGCUGGGUUCAGAACGUCGUGAGACAGUUCGGUCCCUAUCCGUCGCGGGCGCAGGAAAUUUGAGAGGAGCUGUCCUUAGUACGAGAGGACCGGGAUGGACGCACCGCUGGUGUACCAGUUGUUCUGCCAAGGGCAUCGCUGGGUAGCUAUGUGCGGACGGGAUAAGUGCUGAAAGCAUCUAAGCAUGAAGCCCCCCUCAAGAUGAGAUUUCCCAUUCCGCAAGGAAGUAAGAUCCCUGAAAGAUGAUCAGGUUGAUAGGUCUGAGGUGGAAGUGUGGCGACACAUGGAGCUGACAGAUACUAAUCGAUCGAGGACUUAACCAC
rnacentral:rRNA from 1 species